AGAGAAGAUACGGCAUCACCAAGAGUCAGACAAGACUGAACUGCACACAUAGGAGAAGUUGACAUUAUUAGAUAUUAAUGGAGACAUUAUAACUUUCUUCCAAGACUCUCCUGGCACUGGAGCACAUGUAAUCCCAGGAACCAGAUGAGGAAACUGAGGUUAAGUGACUUGCCAAGGUCACCAGAGCAGAAUUUGAAUCCAGGUCUUCUGAUUCCAGAAUCACCAUUUUUUCUACUGCUUCCCUAUUUCAUUUGUUUCUCCAUGGAGGCAGGCUGACACCUGCUUCUGCAACUAGACCUCUCCAGACUGCCUGAGGUUUUCGUCACAGGUUGGGGAGAGAUUCUCCAGCCAAGGUGUUUUGAUUUCUUAGCUGAGGAAAGGCCAGAACUCUCUUGGUUUUUCUUGAAUUAGUAGCUCAGUACUUUAUGUGGAGGAUCUCUGAAGUAUGAUUUGUAGGUAAUGACAGUGGUGAAGACCCUGGCUUCCUGUUUCCCAACAUGGUUCCCCCUCCCCCUUCUCCCUCCUCCUCUUCUCUGUGGCUUGGUUGCCCCAGACUCUGCUCCCUGUUCAAUGCAGCUGCUUCCUGUGGUAGACAGCUCCUAUUCACAAAGGUUUACUCAAUGUCAACAGUAUUUCAUUUUGGGACCAGGAUCCUGAAUGUCAACAUAAUCAUCCUCAUUCCAGCCCCCCCAGACUGAUGAAUGAGCUGAAUGAAAAUCACAACAUUCAUCUAGUAUUUAUUGAAGGGUAGUUUUUCCUAUAACCAUGUCCUAACUAGGUGUUAUUCAGGGUACAAAAAGGAUAUCCUAUUUUGUUUUAAUAAAUAGCAAAUAAAGCCAUUUGUUCAAGCCUAUAACAAACAGAAAUCAUAGAAGAUGAGAAUAUACCAGACAAUGCACAGAGUGAAUGAGCUCUCCCACUCGAAUAAGCUAUUUCAGUUCCACUAAGAGAGCAUUUUUAAAAAAUCUCAAACAAAAUAUGAAACAACCAAAGAAGAAUAAUUGUGAACUUGGAUUCGAGAAAGUACAAGAUAUACAUUCUGUAUUUAUAAGCCAAACAGAGAGUUGGACCUGGCACAAAAGGAAUCAGAAUGGGGUGAGGAGUUAGUUUAGGAAAGCUUCCUUAAGAGGUGAAUCUUGAACUGGUUAAUUGUAAAUAUAUAGGUCUAAUCCUAAGAUCAUAGAUUUAGAGCUGGGGUUUUAGUUCAAUCCUUUCAUUUUAUAGAAAUGAGGAUAUAGAAGUUCAGAAAGACAAAUUUCCAUUAUGUUCUUUCCAGUGCCUGUUUGUGCUACA